rnacentral:rRNA from 1 species
GAUGAACGCUGGCGGCGUGCCUAACACAUGCAAGUCGAGCGAUCUUCUUCGGAAGAGAGCGGCGGACGGGUGAGUAACGCGUGGGUAACCUGCCCUGUACACACGGAUAACAUACCGAAAGGUAUGCUAAUACGGGAUGACAUAUGAAAGUCGCAUGGCUUUUAUAUCAAAGCUCCGGCGGUACAGGAUGGACCCGCGUCUGAUUAGCUAGUUGGUAAGGUAACGGCUUACCAAGGCGACGAUCAGUAGCCGACCUGAGAGGGUGAUCGGCCACACUGGAACUGAGACACGGUCCAGACUCCUACGGGAGGCAGCAGUGGGGAAUAUUGCACAAUGGGCGAAAGCCUGAUGCAGCAACGCCGCGUGAGCGAUGAAGGCCUUCGGGUCGUAAAGCUCUGUCCUCAAGGAAGAUAAUGACGGUACUUGAGGAGGAAGCCCCGGCUAACUACGUGCCAGCAGCCGCGGUAAUACGUAGGGGGCUAGCGUUAUCCGGAAUUACUGGGCGUAAAGGGUGCGUAGGCGGUCUUUCAAGCCAGAAGUGAAAGGCUACGGCUCAACCGUAGUAAGCUUUUGGAACUGUAGGACUUGAGUGCAGGAGAGGAGAGUAGAAUUCCUAGUGUAGCGGUGAAAUGCGUAGAUAUUAGGAGGAAUACCAGUAGCGAAGGCGGCUCUCUGGACUGUAACUGACGCUGAGGCACGAAAGCGUGGGGAGCAGACAGG